AUACGUAGGGGGCGAGCGUUGUCCGGAAUGAUUGGGCGUAAAGGGCGCGUAGGCGGCCCGGUAAGUCUGGAGUGAAAGUCCUGUUUUUAAGAUGGGAAUUGCUUUGGAUACUGUCGGGCUUGAGUGCAGGAGAGGUAAGUGGAAUUCCCAGUGUAGCGGUGAAAUGCGUAGAGAUUGGGAGGAACACCAGUGGCGAAGGCGACUUACUGGACUGUAACUGACGCUGAGGCGCGAAAGUGUGGGUAGCAAACAGGAUUAGAUACCCUGGUAGUCCACACUGUAAACGAUGAAUGCUAGGUGUAGGGGGUAUCGACCCCUUCUGUGCCGCAGUCAACACAAUAAGCAUUCCGCCUGGGGAGUACGGCCGCAAGGUUGAAACUCAAAGGAAUUGACGGGG
rnacentral:rRNA from 1 species